GUAGUUGUGGCCGAGUUGUUAAGUGAUGGACUAGAAAUCCAUUGGGAUCUCCCUGUGCAAAUGCAAAUCCUGUCGACUAUG
rnacentral:tRNA from 1 species